rfam:Hordeum vulgare subsp. vulgare, WGS project CAJW01000000 data, contig: morex_contig_72982
AUAAUAAUUCCUCCGUCCCAAAAUUCUUGUAUUAGAUUUGUGUAGAUAUGAUUGUAUCUAGUCAUGUUUUAGUAUUUAGAUACAUUCAUUUUUAAAUAAAUUUAAGACAAGAAUUUUAGGACAGAGGAAGUAUACA